GACGAACGCUGGCGGCGUGCCUAAUACAUGCAAGUCGAGCGAAUUUACGAGAGCUUGCUCUCGUAAAUUAGCGGCGGACGGGUGAGUAACACGUGGGCAACCUGCCUAUAAGACUGGGAUAACUUCGGGAAACCGGAGCUAAUACCGGAUAAUUCACAUCUACUCAUGUAGAUGUGCUGAAAGACGGUUUCGGCUGUCACUUAUAGAUGGGCUCGCGGCGCAUUAGCUAGUUGGUGAGGUAACGGCUCACCAAGGCCACGAUGCGUAGCCGACCUGAGAGGGUGAUCGGCCACGCUGGGACUGAGACACGGCCCAGACUCCUACGGGAGGCAGCAGUAGGGAAUCUUCCGUAAUGGACGAAAGUCUGACGGAGCAACGCCGCGUGAGUGAUGAAGGUUUUCGGAUCGUAAAACUCUGUUGUUAGGGAAGAACAAGUACCAGAGUAACUGCUGGUACCUUGACGGUACCUAACCAGAAAGCCACGGCUAACUACGUGCCAGCCGCCGCCGUAA
rnacentral:rRNA from 1 species